GAAGCUUUGGGAAGAUGUGGUGGCUGGACCUCAGCCUGACCGUGGCCUUGGCCGCCUCCGUAAUAAGAUCACCACCCAACCCAUUAAUAUCAAAGAAAUAGGAGAAGGGAGUAGUAAGGUGAUGCAUAGGUCGUUGACUAUGCCUGCGGCAGUGAGCCCCGGAACUCCAACGACUCCGACCACUCCAACAACGCCACGUAAGGAUAACGUGUGGAGGAGCGUCUUUAAUCCCGGAAGCAACCUUGCCACUAGAGCCAUCGGCUCCAACAUCUUCGAUAAACCCACGCAUCCAAAUUCUCCAUCCGUCUAUGACUGCGUUGAUAACGAAGCUCAAAGGAAGGAACACGUGGCACUGUGUUUAGUGGGCGCGUGGAUUAAAUGAAAAAAAAAAUUAUUCUGUUUUACCAAAUCAAUCAGCAACCUUCGUUUUUGUGCAUAUGGUUGUACAGCGGUGAGUCAAGGAGUCAGCACCGUUAGGGGUUGGUCUGGAUGGAGUGUGUGUGACAUGCGGGUGAGGUGAUGUAAAUACGGUGACCAGAUCUUCCGCCACUUGUCUGUUUACUUACUUUUUUUAACCUUUAUUUGUUGUACUUUAUGAGAGAGUUGGUAGGGUUUACUUUUUUGUACACAAAACUGUCUUCUGCCUACGCAAUGCGGGUUAGCUUACUGUUUUUGGGAUGUGUUUGCAAGUUUUUUUUUGAGUUGUGUAGUUGCAAGUGGCGCUUGGAUCUUUUACUGUCUCGUUGGAUUUUGUCGGUGGUGAUGCUGUGGCUUUAAUGUUAAAUAAAUAAGCGUAAUUUUGCCUCGGUUCACG